rnacentral:misc_RNA from 1 species
AAUAUUCCGAAACACAUUCUAACGUAGAAGAAGCGUCCUGAAAUAAUUAAAACGAAUAUAUUACCUUUUACCUCGGAAAAACGCCAAGCCACUGGCCUCAGAUAUAUUACAAGAUUCGGGAGACAAAAUCUUCGACCCAUUAGUUUUCAUAAAUUGGUUCAUUUGCUCAUAAUAAGACACAGAGAUCUGUGAACUGAUCGGAGUUCUCUCUCCUUCAUUUUUCGGUUUUUCCUACCAUCUCAAUUAAUCAUCACUCAAAUCUUAUACGAGCGAUUCAGACUUCGAUUAUUCGAUUGGUGAUGAUUAAUUUCAAGUAUAUCAAUUCAGACGGAAAGCGGUACAUUUAUGGUUUUCCGUACUGGAUUCCACUGCAGUUCGGCUUCAGCUAUAGGAGCGGCGACAUCAAGAGCGACAUCAGUAGCAACGCAACUUCCUCAGAGUGACGAUGGAGAGAGCUAACGAUGACCAUUGCACGAUGGAACCAAAUCAGGACAUCGACGAGUCGCUCUGAAGAUCAACUCCACUUCAUCCUGUUCCGGUAGAGAUGGAUCUGCGACACAUGCGACGUACAACUCCUUUUUUGCAGAG